rnacentral:lncRNA from 1 species
CGAGGACAGAUGACAAUCACAAAAAAAUUUUCCAAAGUCCACGUCAUCAAUGUAAAGAUAGUAUCAUUCCGGACUCUCCCUCUGUCACUGAAAGAUACUCCUGAUACAACCUUUAAAGUGGUGAGCAGACAAAGUUCUUGUUCAGUGUUUUAAUGUGAUGUGAGUAUUUGAUCUAAUUUGGAAUUUAUCACACCAUUUGUAUUUCCACAGCAAAAUAACUUUGAAAGGAAUUUCCAGAUGAAAACAUGCACAGGAGAUAACAUGUUGUACUGCAGUGAAUGUAACAGGAAAAAAGAGGCAACAACUGUGAGUUUGACCUCAAAUAAAAACACAAACUGUAAGCAGGCAAGAUAAUAUACUGAUAAAUACUGAGAUUAAAGUAUACUUUUAAUGUUUUUUGUGAUAUUUAGAGAUGUGAGAUGGUGAAAGCUCCUCAGAUCUUGAUUCUUCUCCUCAAGAGAUUUGACUUUGACUACAACACCAGGUCCCAUUUUGAAUCAGAUUGAUGUGUGGAAGUGCCAUGUGAAUUACAGUGGAAGGACAAGACAUACAAACUGUAUGGGAUGGUGAAUCACAUGGGCAGUCUAAGAGGUGGACAUUACACAGCCACCGUCCUGUCUGAGGACAACACCUGGUAUGAGUGUGAUGAUGAUCAUGUCAGCAAGAUUAACGACCAGCUGUUUGCAGAGGAAAGGACUUUCAGAUCCAAGAGUGUCUAUCUCCUCUCGUACAGAGCACUACAGGGACUGCAUUAUGGCACAUAUGAUCAGGGAGACACAAAUGAUCGAAACUUACUCUCAUGGAAAGAUACCCAUCAUACAACCUACAGUGAGGAAAGCAGCUUUAAAAGGAUUGUCAACACAAAAUCAUUUUCUGGAGACAACAAGGUGUACUGCGAUGAGAAGAUGAAAGAACCAAUGAGCUUUGCUAAGGAAACGAUCCGUGCACACAAGGUGGAACUCAUCAACUGUCUGAGUGCCGAUCAUCCCUAUAUUCUGCAGCAUGCACAUGCCAAAAAGAUCAUAACAGACAGACAAUAUAUGAAUAUUAAGGAAGAGUCUUCCUUGAAGUGUGUCACUGAGCUGAUUGAUUACGUGAUUCUAGUUAAUGGUCAGAAAUCCUGCACUGAUUUCCUUGGAGUUCUCAAUCUGCCUGAUGUUCUGGAAAAUUAUCCGCAGCUCAGAGAAAUCAUAAAUGAAAUGCUGUGCAGCAAUAGUGGAAGGAACGCAUAACAUGUGAAUUGUAAUGUUAAUAAAAAGCAGAACGUUUUGUUGAAGC